rnacentral:rRNA from 1 species
GACAGAGGGUGCAAACGUUGUUCGGAAUUACUGGGCGUAAAGCGCGUGUAGGCGGCCAUCUAAGUCGGGCGUGAAAUCCCACGGCUCAACCGUGGAAGUGCACUCGAAACUGGAUGGCUAGAGUCCUGGAGAGGAAGGUGGAAUGCUUGGUGUAGAGGUGAAAUUCGUAGAUAUCAAGCGGAACACCGGUGGCGAAGGCGGCCUUCUGGACAGCGACUGACGCUGAGACG